AUUAUUAGUAGGCUAUAUGAAACAGCUUGUUUCAGAUUUUACAUAGAAGAAAAUCCCAUAUCUAGAACGAGAGUGUCAGACACUAGAUCACUAAAAAUAUUAAAUUUAUAUUAAACACGACAAACGUGGAUUGAGUUGAGAUAUAGGAUGGCAUUAUUGAACCUCUUUGGAAAUCUUAUUGAUAUUACUUCAUGAAAGAUAUUAUGUACAUAUUAUUUGUGUAUUUUGUUGUGCCUUGUAUUUUCUAACACUUGUUCCAGGGGUGUUGAUACAAUGCUAAGUGUGUAUCAAGAGAUUCCAACCAACACAAGAACAACAAGAUGAACAACAAAGUGCUAGUGAAUCAAAAUGGCCACACACGGCUUCACUAAGCGUGCAACACUUGUUUGAACUAGAAAAGUGAGUUUAACAACAAGAACAAAAAAGACAAUAUUGCUAGUGAAUUGAAAGAGCCCCACACGGCUUCACUAGACUUUUAUAUUCAACAACACAAUGUUAACAAGAUUUACAAAGAAAGAGAUAGAAACUUGACACACAAUAUUCAUUAAUCUAAGAACCCUAACAAGAGAAAGGACCCUAAGACUAAUAAAUAUCAAUACCAAGUUCUUACUUGGACCACGAGGAACUCAAAGAACCUCAAGAACCUAGUUUCUAGCCAAGAUACAACACUAGUAUCACUCUACUAGUGAGAAUUUGGUUUUGGCCUCUCCAAAUGAUGGGAAAGAGAAGUCAAAAAUUUGCAAGUCUUUGUUUCUUGAAUACUAGGAAUGAAUAAAGCAAUACUAGCCCUAUUACAUGGCUUAUAUAGUCACUUAGAAAAGAGAGACAAUGGCUUAUAUAGUCACUUAGAAAGGAGGGACAAAGACCAAAUUACCCUUGGCAUUUAAGUGGAUGGGUUUGGGGUGUCUUGGUGGGCCUCUUUACAUUUUAUUAAAUAUAGGCCCUUAGAUGGGCUCACAAGGGUCUCACACAUGGCCAAGAAUGUGAACAAGGCUUGGAGUCGUUGCAACUCACGUUCUUGGCUUUGUGUGAAAGGUAUAGAGCUAGGAAUUCCCGUAUCAUCCUCUCCAUCUUGAAGGAAAUUUGUCCUCAAAUUCGGAUCAUUGCCAUCCUCCACCCUUUCCACCCGAGAGAGAUCACACACGUUGAAAGUGUUGUGCACUUGAUAUUCUGGGUGUAGAUCAAUCUUGUAGGCAUUGUUGUUGAUCCUUUCUAAUACUUGGAAUGGGCCAUCACCCCGUGGUAUCAACUUAGCAUUCCUUUCAGACGAGAAUCUAUCCUUCCUUAGGUUCACCCACACCCAAUCUCCCGAUUCAAGAAUGAGCUUUCUUCUUUCUUUGUUGGCUCGCCUCGCAACUUCUUGGUUUUUCUUCUCCAACUACAACCUCACCUUCUCAUGUAGCUUUUUCAUGGCCUCGGCCCCUUUGCUUCCAUCUAAUCUUAUCACAAGAUCACUUGGCAAAGGGGUUAAAUCCAAAGGGGUGAGGGGGUUGAUGCCGUAUAGACACUCAAAGGGUGUCAUCCCCGUGCUUAAGUGUAUAACACAAUUAUAAGCAAACUCAAUCAAAGGUAAGAGCUCCUCCCAAGAAGUCAUUUUUCCUUUAACCAUGGACCGUAGCAUAGACUCUAAGGUCCUAUUUACUACUUCGGUUUGGCCAUUGGUUUGUGGGUGGCAUGAAGUCGAAAACAAUAACUUAGUAUAGAGUCUACCCCACAUAGACUUCCAAAAGUGGCUUAGGAAUUUAGAAUCCCUAUCACUCACUAUGGUCCUCGGAGCACCAUGAAGUUUUACAACAUUAUCAACAAAAAAAGAGGCUACGCUAGGCGCAUCAUCACAUUUAGAACAAGGAAUAAAGUGAGCCAUCUUGGAAAACCGAUCCACCAUGACAAAAUACUAUCCUGCCCCUUUCUAGUCCUCGAAAAUCCCAACACGAAGUCCAUUCAUAUGUCAAGCCAAGGACGCAAAAGGGUGGACAAUGGGGUGUACAACCCGUGGGGUUGGAGUCGUGACUUGGCUCCUUUGCACUCAAUACAUUGGCCGCAAAUCUGGGCCACAUCCUUGUGCAUUCUAGGCCAAUAAAAUUGUUCUUCCAAAAUUUCGAGGGUCUUCUCGACCCCAAAAUGGCCCAUUAGACCACCAUUGUGUGCUUCACUCACAAAUAAUUCUCUCCACGAACUUGAGGGAACACACAAUCGUCUACCUUUAAAAAAGUAUCCACCAAAUUUGGUAUAGGGAUGGGAACCCCUAUCUGUAACCCACCUAUCCCUUUCCAACUCUUUACUUUCCCUAUUGAUAGGAGCGAAGUGAGGGUCCUCGGGAUAUAAAGACUUGAGGCUUUCAAACCCCAUCAACUUAGACGACAAAGUAGACACAAGCACAUGUUUUUGGGACAAAGCAUCGGCAACCACAUUGUCUUUACCCUUCUUGUAUUAAAUAACACAAGGAAAAGUUUCAAGAAAUUCAAUCCAUUUGGCAUGCCGCUGGUUAAGCUUGUCUUGUGCCCGUAGAUGCUUCAAGGAUUCAUAAUCCAUUCGGAUCACGAAUUCUUUAGGCCACAAAUAAUGUUUCCAAGUAGCCAAGGCUCUAAUUAAGGCAUACAACUCUAAAUCAUACGUAAAGUAGUUUAGAGUUUCUCCUUUGAGCUUUUCGCUAAAGUAGGCAAUAGGAUUCAAUUCUUGCAUUAAAACCGUCGAAGGCCUUAGCUUGUUCAUCUCCCCACUUGAAAGGCCGAUCCUUUUUAAUCACUUUGGUCAAGGGGGCAGCAAUGGUGCUAAAUCUUUUGACAAAACGUCUAUAAAAACUAGCCAACCCAUGGAAGAUUCUCACUUCACCUACGGUUUUAGGAGUUGGUCAAUUUUUAAUGGAGUCAAUCUUAGAUUCAUCCACUUCUACCCCUCUAGAGAUCACCACAAACCCAAGAAAUACAACCUGAUGGACACCAAAAGAACACUUUUCUAUAUUAGCAUAUAACUUCUCCUUUCGGAGGACAUCAAACACCCAUUGUAAAUGCUUUACAUGCUCAUCUAAGGACUUUCUAUACACCAAUACAUCAUCAAAAUAAACAACAACAAACAUUCCAAUAAAUGGCUUCAUCACAUGAUUCAUUAGCCUCAUGAAAGUACUUGGAGCGUUUGUUUGGCCGAAUGGCAUAACCAUCCAUUCAUAGAGACCGAAUUUGAUCUUGAAGGAAGUUUUCCAUUCAUCACCCGGUUGCAUACGAAUUUGGUGAUAGCCACUCCUCAAAUCAAUUUUAGAAAACAAACACGAACCACUCAAUUCAUCAAGCAUAUCAUCUACCCUAGGAAUAGAGUGACGAUAUUUUACCGUUAUCUUGUUGAUGGCUCUACAAUCAACGCACAUACGCCAAGUCCAAUCUUUCUUGGGAACUAGUAGCACCAAAACCGCACAAGGGUUCAUACUCUUUUUGAUAUAUCCUUUGUUGAGGAGUUCCUUAACAUGGCAUUGCAAUUCCUUGGUAUCUAUCGGGUUGCUCCUAUAAGCCGGUUUAUUGGGCAAUUGUGAACCCGGCACAACAUCUAUUUGGUGCUCAAUUCCCCAAAGUGGGGGCAAUCCUUGCGGUAAUUACUUUGAGAAGACAUCCUCGUAAUCCUGCAAAACAUGAGAAAUAGGAGGAGAAUUGGAAAUGUUAGUGGCGUUAGUGUUAAAACAAUAAGCCAAGAGGAGCAUCGGAAUGUCCUCGUCAUGAUCCACAAAUAAUUUUUUCUUCCUAGCCAUCAUCACCACACUUCCUUGACCCUUAGAAAUUAGGAGCCCCUCGGUUUCCCCUACUCCCUCGCUCUCAGGUUCCCUUUUUUUUCCCUCACUCUCAGCCUUCUUUCCCUUUUCCCUUCCUAACAACAAGUGACAAGCUUGCAUUGGUAUCACAUCACAAAGCACCUCGUCAUGGUAGUUGGCUACCUUAAAACGUAUCACACAUUGCCUUGUGACCUUUAACUGGCCGCAUUCAUUCAACCAUUGCAACUUGUAAGGACUAGUAUGAGGUGUAGUUGACAAUUUCAAGAAGUUCACCAUUGCAACACAAACCACAUUUGCACAACUUCCACUAUCUAUCACCAUAGUACACACACUUCCCUUCACAAGACAUUUAGUAUGGAAUAAAUUCUCUUGUUGGCUAGGGUCAUCUUUCACUUUACUAAUCAUGGCACGCCUCACUACAAAGUUUGGAACCACGUACUCCCCUUCUUGUGGAUAAGAAUCCUCACAAUCAUCAUCAUCAUGUGGCUCAUUUUCGGGUUUCUCUCCAUCUUGAGGCUCGGCCUCAUUCUCUUCUUUUUUAAGACCCACUUCCUCACCAAGGUAAUACAAUCUCCCUUCCCUUAGGAUCACAUUGUGCUAGUUUGGACAUUCGUUGGCUUUAUGUCCCCAACCUUGGCACUUGAAACAUUGGAACCCUUUAGGAUUAGGAUACUUGUGAGCUCCUUGAUGGGGAGGAAAUUUAUGGACUGUUUUAGGCUCGGACAACCUUGUAGUGGGGGGUUGGUCCUUGUUUUUGGGCCAACCCGAAGAUGGUUGAACCAUAUCUUUGCUCCUCGGCCAACCCGAGGUUGAUGGUCCCUUUGCCUUGAACGACAAACUCUCUUUAAGCUCCCUUUCAAUCUCAAGAGACGCUUGGAAAAUCCCUUCAACGGUAUCAAACUUGUGAAGCGUUAAAUGAGUGGAGAUCUCUUUGGUCAACCCACACUUGAACCUAAUGAUGUCAUGGACAAUUUGUUCUCCCUGAUGAUCAAGUUUCAACAUGAGUUGUUGAAACUCGUCUUAGUAUGCCAUAACACUUCGAUUCCAUUGUCGUAAAUUGUACAACCUAGCAAUCAACUCAUGACGAUAACUUUCGGGAAGAUACCAUUGCCAUAUUAGGUACCUCAACCGAAACCAUGGUGGUGGUUGUCCCUCUACCAACUCAUUGCUGAACCGCUUGACGUAUUCCCACCAAGUGUUAGCAUAGCUUUUAAAAUGAGCUAUGGCAUAACAACUCUUCUUCUCCUCCGAGAUAUCAUUCACUUGAAACACUUUAACACACUCCGACUCACAAGCAAGAUACACCUCGGGGUCACUUUCACCCUUAAAUAUAGGUAGGCUCAAUUUGAUGGUAUUGAUGCCUACGUCUCUCUCUAGGUGUUGGUUUCCCCUUUCUCCAUACCCUCGGUAUCUCCUUGGAUCCACACGACCUUCUCUCAUCUCUUCCUCCUUCAUGGAGGCAUUGUAAAAGGCUCCAUACCCUUCAUAAUCCUCUCUACCAUAUUUCUCAAGGUGGACGGGAUGAUUUUGGACAUUUGGAACUUGAUUCGGAGGAAUUGGAAUUUGUAGAGGUGGUGGUCUUUGGUUUAGUAGAUCUUGAAAGGGGGGCUCAGAUUUUGUGGAGGCGUUUGACGUCCGAGUACCUCUUGUGGAACUUGAGGCAUUUGGGAAUGGGUUGGUCUAUUGGAGUCUCGGUUUAGAGGGUUAUAAGUGGUUUGGCUUGUAGCAUUUAGUGGAGCUAGAGAAGGAUUUGGCAAAUGUAGCCAUGUUUUGGGAGUAACAGUGGCGGAGGAAUUUCUAUCAUGUCCACUUGAUGAAACAUGUCGAGGAGUAGAAGGACGGGAGUUACUUUAACUCUCCACUUGUUCUAACCUCCUACUAAUAGUUGUCACUUCACCCCUUAUGGCUCCCAUUUCCGUACUCAACCUUUCAAGAGCUCGGGUCAUAGCCUCAAGAGUGACCCUCAUAUUCUCCAUUUCAUUAGAAUCCACAAUUUGAGACGUGGUUCCCUCCAUUAUCAAGGUAUCACCUACAAAAGCAACAAACAAGUUAGUUUAAAAUCCUGCUCCUCACUCACACUCUCUUGGUUCACUCACACUCAAGUUCCACAAGAGUUGUAGAUUGGCUAGGAACCCGUGAAUCUGUAAGGUAUAAGUAUGCUCUUGCCCAGAAUGGAUUCCUAUUUGAAACUCAAAGAGUUAUCGUUGGACUAUAGCCAAGAGUUACAAAGUAUUCAAAUGACAAAAGCACACAAACAAACGUUGACACGAACACAAGGCUUCAAGUGACUAAUUGACAAGCUAGUAGGAAUGUACUAGUUUGUUAAUUAGUUCUCAAGUCAAUUAGAGAAAACUAGGAAUCAAUAAUUAGAAACUAGAACAUCCAAAUUUGAGCUUAAUUAUCACAUGAAUAGUAACUAAGCUGAUGUGGCAGCAUGUCAAUGGUCGCGGGUCAACAUAAAUAGUUCAUCAAAUUGAAGUCUUAGUCCCCUUAGAUCUUUUGUAAUGGAUGACUUGUUAUUGGGAUAGAAAACAUAAAGUGUUGUAAAAUUUUUCGAACCCCCCUUUUUUUUCUUUUUUUUUUCUUUUUCAAACUCAAAAGGUGAUGUUUGACCUCACUAGUCCCACAAGACAAGGUUCCUUGUUUUAAGGAAAGGUGGUUGUCAAGUCUUGAAAAGGUGAUGUUGGCAAGUCUUCUCACAAACAAUUUUCAAUUUUGUCUUACAACCUUUUUGGAUCUAUUUAUCUUUAUAGAAGUUAAGACAUAAGAUGAGGAGAAGUUUAGGAUGAACACACAUCAACACCUUCAUGAACACAACAACAAUACACCACAAUGGUCACUUCCAAGUUUUUUUUUUUGUCACAACACAAGUCUCUUUUUCAUUAAGCUCAACUUUAGAUCUAGACACCCUUUGUGUUGAUGAGAAAGAAACCAACACAAGAAACAACUAAAAAAGUAAAACUUUUGUAGAUCUACAACCAAUUUUUUUUUACCAAAAUGUUCAAGAACACAGUUUUUGGUAAGAGCUUUUCAAGAUUGUUUUUGUAAGAACAAAACCUAGCCUUGAGCUUUGAUACCAAAUGAUACAAUGCUAAGUGUGUAUCAAGAGAUUCCAACCAACACAAGAACAACAAGAUGAACAACAAAGUGCUAGUGAAUCGAAAAUGGCCACACACGGCUUCACUAGGCUUGCAACACUUGUUUUAACUCGAAAAGAGAGUAUAAACACACACACACGGCUUCACUAGGCUUGCAACACUUGUUUGAACUAGAAAAGUGAGUUUAACAACAAUAACAACAAAGACAAUAUUGCUAGUGAAUCGAAAGAGCCCCACACGACUUCACUAGACUUUUAUAUCAACAACACCAUGUUAGCAAGAUUUACAAAGAAAGAGAUAGAAACUUGACACAUAAUAUUCAUUAAUCUAAGAACCCUAACAAGAGAAAGGACCCUAAGACUAAUAAAUAUCAAUACCAAGUUCUUACUUGGACCAAGAGGAACUCAAAGAACAUCAAGAACCUAGUUUCUAGCCAAGAUACAACACUAGUAUCACUCUACUAGUGAGAAUUUGGUUUUGGCCUCUCCAAACGAUGAGAAAGAGAAGUCAAAAAUUUAUAAGUCUUUGUUUCUUGAACAAUAGGAAUGAACUAAAGCAAGACUAGCCCUAUUACAUGGCUUAUAUAGUCACUUAGAAAGGAGGGACAAAGACCAAAUUACCCUUGGCAUUUAAGUGGGUGGGUUUGGGGUGUCUUGGUGGGCCUCUUUAUAUUUUAUUAAAUAUAGGCCCUUAGAUGGGCUCACAAGGGCCUCACACAUGGCCAAGAAUGUGAAAAAGGCUUGGAGUCAUUGCAACUCACGUGCUUAGCUUCGUGUGAAAGGUCUCGAGCUAGGAAUUCCCGUAUCAGGUGUUAAAGUUGUGGGUCGAGGAUAUUACUG
rnacentral:lncRNA from 1 species